GCUGCAGGGGUGAGUCCCACAUCGCUACAGUAACACAAUAGGGUCCUGAUCUCUCGUUGUGGCCUCCAGUUGCUACUGUAAUAUAAAUAACAUUUUUUAAUUAAUUCAAAAUUACAGUUUACAAAGGAACCUGAUUAGUAAGUUUUAAGUAGUUGAAAAAAAUUAGAGGCAAAGGAAAGAGAAUUUAGAAUAUGUCAGAUCAGAAAUGCAUAUCUGCUGUAGCCGUAUUGUACUGUGGCUGAAUUUUAAAAGGGAGUUGAUCAUUUUGACCAGUAAUGAAGUAUGUAAUAAACAACAUGAUACAGGUAAGGAGAAUCCAAUAUAGUACUUCAAUAAAUAAACUGACUGCCCCAGUGAUUGGGAAGGAAUCCUGUUCCUUGCUUGCAUUUUUAGCUUGGAGCAUACUUGUUGUUUUCAUUGCAUGGAGGACUUUUGCCUUAUUCUGAAUUUUCAAGUAUUUGGCCACUUUUAGAGGCAGAAUGAAAGAAAAUGGAUUUGUGACCUGAUCCAGUGUAUCAAAAUCGUCUGUACCUAUAUCUUAUAGGUUCAUAUGACUCCAACCUACAUUGUCCACCUUUUCAUUUGAUGUAGUGUAUUGUCUUAAUGUUCAGCCCAGUCCUUGAUUUAAGAUCCAUUCAUACAGUGUACAGCCUCAGCUUCUCAAGCAACUUUGUGUCCUGAAAACAAAACAAUGACCAGGGAUCCUCCAACUAACCACUGGUUAUGUUUUUAAAGGACCAGAAUUGGAGGCUCCAGCAAUGUUGUCACUUCUGUUCUUCUCAUAAUAAGUCCAGAAUAGCAUCAGCAGGCUAGCUAAUACAGUAAUAAUAAAAUACCAGUGCAGUGGGGAAUAAAUCAGCUUCGGUUAUCCUUUCCUGCAGCAGAAAGGACAUCACUAAGUGCCAGACUUUUCAAAUGAACUCACCAGUUUGAAUAAAGCACUUUUCGAAGAUCUGACUCUUAUUUAAAUGCUUAACUGGGACUCAAGAUCUUUUGAAAAUCUGGCCCCAAUAGUGACUGCUGAGCACACGAAAAUCUGCCCUCAAAGGGCUCAGAAUUUUUAGGGUGCCAGUGUUAAAUGGUUUCAAUGGGAAAUGCUAGCAGUGCAGUCACUCCAAUAAAUAAUCAUUACUAACCUGUUGCUUCCCUAGUAUUUUACAGCUCUAGUUGUCUACAUGUUCUGCCUGCAAAACAGAGUGAAUCUGGUCCCUGAAUGAACCAUUCAGUGCUGAAAGAUGACCUUGCUGUAGUCUCAGAGCAGGAGCGAGGUUGAUGGGAGGCAGAGCCGAGGAUGUCUCUACUCUUGGUGAAAGCCACAAGGGGGGAAAAAAAUCUCAUUAACUCUUGGCCAGUGGACGUUAUGCAGCCAGAAUACUCUAUGUACACACAGCACGUUGUAAUUGCUGAAUGUUUCUAGGCUGAUGUUGAAACCCUGCCAAGCUGUCAAUCACAAUCUAAAGUGUAAAACAGCUUGGAAAGCCCCUGUCCGUGAAGAAGAGUCGGUAUGGCAGAAGAUUGGAAUAUUGGGCGUAAUACAGAUCUGUCAGUCUAUCAUCACUUGAAGAAAGAAUAUCAUUUAUGAGCGCCAGUGCUGCCCUUAUUCAGUGCCAGCUUAAUCAAUUGAGUCUGAAGAGUUUCCCCCACCAGCAGCCGUGUAUGAGGUGGCCCUCCUGUGGGUCCAAACAGAGCCGAUGCUGUCUCGGCAACUCCUCUCAUCUUUUAAAAGAAAAACCUGACUGACUAUCAACAAAAUUUGCCUCAAAAGAGGAGAGAGAAAAAAGAAAAACUGACAAGUACACUAAGGGUCUAAGAUGCAGCAGACAACAUCCAAACGGUGCCGUCAGGAGCCCCAGUCGUGGACUAGGAUCCCACUGUGCUAGGUGCUGUACAAAUAGAGUCCUGCCCCCACAAUCAAACUGUACAACAAGCAACAGCAGAUGGAUACAGACAGAUGGAGUGCAAAGAAACAAUCCAACAAUAUUGGUCAGCAAGGCAAUGGUAUCCGCACCGGGGCAGUCAAACCGUUGUCAAGCUUUUUGUGGGCAUCACACCAAGGCAAAACCUAUUUUGAUACCCUGAUCUCGGAGGGGAAUCGUAGCUGUUGAAGCUGAGAUCCACAAGGCGGGGACUGAGGUGCUGCAUUGGAAGAGGAACUCUGGAACCUGGGUCUCUCACCACCCAGACUUAUGGAAAGAGACCUUCUAAAAACAUUGAAGUGUAUUACCGGCAUGCAAAACCUUAAAUCAGAGUGACUAAAUGAAGACUCGGCACAGCACUUCUGAAAUGUUGCCAACCCCUGCCCUAGAGGAUUUUGGAGUGCCUAUAGGAAGCUUAGACCUACCUACAUCUCCAUGUGGAAGAUGGAUUAACACCUGAGGGCUGGUGACUCUUCAAUAGACUCCAUCAAUCAAAUCAGGCAGAGUAAUCUUUAGAGAGAGAGCAGAUUCUCUGAGGUGUAUCAGUAUGGAGUGGUUCACUGCCCUGAGUGAAUACCAGCUAGGAUCCAGAAAGAGCCUGUGAUUUGUGGCCUUUGUUCCAUUCAACUCAAUAUUCAAGACCACUAUCGAAGUUACAGCUGUGCACCAGGAUACCUGCGAAGAACAGACCAGACAGACACAUAAGAACAGUCCUUGAUCCUUAAGGCUGGAGGACCACUCACCAACUUUCUGACUGGAUAGAAUUUACAAGUGCAAUAUAUUGAGCUAUACAAAAAGAAGCUACAGCAAUAUUAACAAGUACUAGGCAAAUAACAGCAUCACUUAAUAUACUAUUUAGAGCACAAACCUGUGUUAAUAAAACCCACAUUUGUAAAGGAAGAAUUAGACCAAUUAGUUAAAGGGACACAGUUAAAACAAAGAUGGUAUAAAAACAGCUGAUAUGCAGGUAUCCUGUAAAACUGUAUCCUGAAUAGUAAACUUGAUAAGUACCUGGAUCAUCGUUUGCUUCAUCCUCAUCUGCACUAAUCCCUCUUUCAAUUUCAAAUAUUUCAAACAGAUUAUUGCUCACUCCAGGCUGUCGUGGAACUGGAAGAGAAAGUAAUUUUUAAAGAAAUGAAUGAGGUAGAUAAAAAUAGUCAAUGACCUACUUACUUAUCUUUAAUAAAAGGCAGAGAGAAAGCCUCAGGCUUAUGCUUUUCUUGAUUAAUUCAAUAUAUUUAAUUAAAUCUCACAUGAAGAUUCAUAAA